CUUCGCAUGUCCUGUCCGGCUGUCCCUAUACCUCUCCCUAAAAUGGUAAAGUUGAACAGAUCAUUCGCUCUACCAACAACAUCAUUCGCUCUCUCCUCCAAGCUUCUCCCUGCUGCAUACUGGGUGGAGGGUCUUCAUACAACCACAUACCUCCUUAAUCGACUUCCCACCAAAACCAUCAACGCUUCUAGACUCCAUAUAUCGCCUGUUCGACAUAGAUCCUCCUUAUGCUCACCUCUGUGUGUUUGGUUGUGCUUGCUACCCCAAUCUGUCCGCUACUGCUUCCCAUAAACUAUCUCCUCGUUCUACUCGUUGUGUUUUUUAGGCUACUCUAGUGACCACAAAGGCUAUCGCUGCUUUGACCUUUCCACCAAGUAUUCACAUUUCCCGUCAUGUGGUCUUUGAAGAGGCAGACUUCCCUUUCUCUGCCUCGCCCCAUCCCACUAAUGAUUUAGAUCUUUUGUCUUCCAAUGAUGACGUGGUGGUCUAGCCUAUUGGCACCCACUCACGCCUGCAGGUACUUCGUCGGCUCUUGCUGCAGCAGCAACCCUAGACCCUGGUGUAGCACCGAUGUCCUUGCCUGGCGCUCUUCCCUCGCUUGGCGCAGCACAGUUGCCCCUGUCUGCAGUUUCUCCUCUGUCGGCUGCCACACCAGCAGCGCCCAGUCCCUCUGCGACAGGCGCUGCAGGCACUACACCUUCGCCCGCGCCACGCGUGGCCACGACAUUCCCUGCAUCUUCGCCGACUCCCACGCCACGCGUGGCCACGACACCGCUGGUUACUCCUGCUCCCCAGCAGGCUGCACCUCUCCACCGGCCACCACUUCUGACAUACCAGCGACGUCCUCGCCUACCAACCCUGGAGACUCCUCCGGCACUGC
rnacentral:misc_RNA from 1 species